UACGAAGGGGGCUAGCGUUGCUCGGAAUUACUGGGCGUAAAGGGUGCGUAGGCGGGUCUUUAAGUCAGAGGUGAAAUCCUGGAGCUCAACUCCAGAACUGCCUUUGAUACUGAGGAUCUUGAGUACGGGAGAGGUGUGUGGAACUCCGAGUGUAGAGGUGAAAUUCGUAGAUAUUCGGAAGAACACCAGUGGCGAAGGCGACACACUGGCCCGUUACUGACGCUGAGGCGCGAAAGCGUGGGGAGCAAACAGGG
rnacentral:rRNA from 1 species